GACUCCUUGGCUCCCCUGCACUAAAAUAUCUGCAGUUUUCUUUCACUGCAGACUCUGUUCUCUCUCUAUUCUUUCAUCUGAAAAAUCAAGAUUUGAUGUUUAUAGUUGAUCCAAUUGUGCAAAUAGAUACGUUUUAUGAUUCUUGAUCUUGAUGAUGUUGCAAAUAACAAUGGUGUCGUUGACGUAUUCGAGAAAAGGCCUGACUCAACUCUCCAACAUUUUCAAUAAAUUUUUUCUUUUUCUUUUUUCCUCAAAGAAAAUUUUGUGUCUGUUAUAUGUAUUUUUCUGCUGCAUAAUAAUCGUGUGUAAUGCUUCUCUGAUUCUUGAAGUAUUUGAAGUCCCAGUGCAGGCCUUGGAAAAUGGGAGAGAAGUAUUUGAAGAGAAGAAACUUUCUCCUUGAGCUGUAAAUUCUCUUGGAGUAUUUUUGUUCAAUUAGCAAUGAAUGCUUUUGGCAGAUUGCAUUAUAUUUUGUUCAAGUACUAGUGCAAUGUUCAACCACCAUAACGAAUUCAUUUUGGUUCUU